rnacentral:rRNA from 1 species
GUCCACGCCGUAAACGAUGGGCACUAGGUGCUUGGGGGAGCGACCCCCUGAGUGCCGGCGCUAACGCAUUAAGUGCCCCGCCUGGGGAGUACGGCCGCAAGGCUGAAACUCAAAGGAAUUGACGGGGGCCCCGCACAAGCGGUGGAGCAUGUGGUUUAAUUCGACGCAACGCGAAGAACCUUACCUGGGUUUGACAUGUACGGGAAAGCCCUUGGAAACAGGGGCCCCUCUUCGGAGUCCGUGCACAGGUGCUGCAUGGCUGUCGU